GACGAACGCUGGCGGCGUGGAUUAGGCAUGCAAGUCGAACGGUAGGAUACCUUCGGGUAUCUGAGAGUGGCGAACGGGUGAGUAACACGUAGGUGAUCUACCCUCAAGAUUGGGACAACCCAGGGAAACUUGGGCUAAUACCGGAUGAAAGCAGCAGUGAUGUUGUUUGAAAGGUGGCGUAAGCUGCCGUUUGGGGAUGAGCCUGCGCUCUAUUAGUUAGUUGGCGGGGUAAAGGCCCACCAAGGCGAUGAUAGAUAGGCGGCCUUAACGGGUGGUCGCCCACACUGGGAUUGAGAUACGGCCCAGACUCCUACGGGAGGCAGCAGUCGAGAAUAGUCUACAAUGGCCGAAAGGCUGAUAGUGCGACGCCGCGUGAACGAAGAAGCCCUUCGGGGUGUAAAGUUCUUUUAUAUGUGAGCAGUGACAUCUAUAUUAAUAGUAUGGGUGUAGAGAUAUUAGCAUAUGAAUAAGCAACGGCUAACUCCGUGCCAGCAGCCG
rnacentral:rRNA from 1 species